rnacentral:rRNA from 1 species
GGAUCGGCUAACUCCGUGCCAGCAGCCGCGGUAAUACGAGGAUCCGAGCGUUAUCCGGAUUUAUUGGGUUUAAAGGGUGCGCAGGCGGGAUGUUAAGUCGGCGGUGAAAUUUUGCAGCUCAACUGUAAAAGUGCCUUCGAUACUGGCUUUCUUGAGUGUGGAUGAAGUAGGCGGAAUUUGUGGUGUAGCGGUGAAAUGCUUAGAUAUCACGAGGAACUCCGAUUGCGCAGGCAGCUUACUAAACCACUACUGACGCUCAUGCACGAAGGCGUGGGGAUCAAACAGGAUUAGAUACCCUGGUAGUCCACGCAGUAAACGAUGAUUACUAGUUGUUUGCGAUACAAUGUAAGCGACUGAGCGAAAGCGUUAAGUAAUCCACCUGGGGAGUACGUUCGCA